rfam:Salmo salar isolate Sally breed double haploid chromosome ssa28, whole genome shotgun sequence.
AUCCCUGUGGCUCAGUUGGUAGAGCAUGGUGUUUGCAACGCCAGGGUUGUGGGUUUGAUUCCCACGGGGGGCC